rnacentral:tRNA from 1 species
GUCCACGUAGCUCAGUGGAUAGAGCGCAGCCCUGCGGAGGCUGAGGCCGGAGGUUCGAGUCCUCCCGUGGACG